GUUAUUGUUGUCGUUGUUGAUAUUGUCGUCUUCUUUUUCAUCGAUUUGCAUUCACAUUUUUGUUUUCUCUUUUUUUCUUAUUUAUAUUUUCGUUUGUUUUUUUUCUCUCAACGACACUCUUCGUUCACUGUGCCGUGUGAUUCCACCUAACCACGUUUCUCACAAGUGUGAGUGACAACGUGCGCGAUAGAAUUUUCUGCGAGGGGAUACACGAGUUUUCAUCGUGUACGCAAAAGGUACCCAUUCCCGGAACGCAAGAGAGACCCAGCAUGGCCGCCUAGCACAAGACGAGUCAGAGUUCCUUGCCGGUGUCCACACUACAACGGCAGUAUGCUCUCUGUCUCCUUCCCUCUCUUCAUCCCUUUCGCUCUCUGUUUCUGUCCGCCUUCUCCCGCCAUGUAUUCAAAGAGUACUCACUCGUGCUCUGUCUUCUUUACUCCCAUAUAUACGCAUACAGAUGCAUCACAAUCCGUCUUCGUUUUUGCACAAUGUUGUUGCUCUCGUUGCGUCGCUUUCUCGCUUUCUGUUCCAUGCUUUUCCCUCGCAGUUCGUUCCUACAUCUAUCUUAUUCGCUUCUUCUCUUCGUUUCGUAUACACGCUUUACGGAUUCGUCUUUCUCUCUUUCUCGUGUCUGUCCGUUUUCUCUUUCACUCCCUUUCUCUCCCAGUUUCUGCAUCUCUCUUUCGUUCUUGUCCCCUGAUCGCGCCUUUCAUUCGAAAAUAGAACGUCAGCACGCGUGCCGCGCACAUUUUUCCUCAUGAAAACACCGAAUUCCCACUCGCUGACACGCGCGCGCGACACAGACCAAGCGAGCACUCGUGCUGUAUUCUAACCUCACUUUCCGUGAAAAAAUUCUGCGGAUUGAUCGAUAUUGAUUUUAUUAACACGUGUAAACCAACGUCUUUAAUUUAUUGUUGUUAUUAUUCAAUUAAAUAUAUAUCAAAAUAAAGGAACUUUUAUUAACUUAUUAACCAUAUCACUUAAUAUCAUGUAGACAGCAUGCGUUUUUCAUUCAGCCAAUCAUAAUUUACGACUGUGUCUAAUAGAGGCGCUAUUUACCGUACCGGCAAAAUUUUUCUGCGUCCUUAGAUGGCGCAUUCAGUUGCUCUUGGGAAGCCAUACACGAAGUGUCUGUAUCAGUAGUUUUCGAUCAAAUUGCGAAGUGUCAAAUGCAUCAGAACCGAUGAAAUAUUUUUAUUGUGACAAUAAGACAUAAUAGUAGAGUCAGUUGAUCUUUCGUUUAUCGUCUAUCGGCUUUGUUACGGUCAGACGGAGUCAGACGAUAUUCUGGCGGGAGACUCGUAAAAAUAGUGUCUUCGUCGUUUCCUCCCUUCGACUCCGUGACUAUAAUUAGCGGGAUUCGCGUUUUCUACGUAAACAAAUAUUCAUCGGUUGUGUUGUGUCAGCCACUUUUCUCGUUGUUCGUGAUUUCCUGUUCGAUAAAGUGCAUUGAAUAAACAUCGCGAAACACGACUAUCCGGCCAGUCACCGAUGUCAUGGCUAAAGUCCACGACUAUCGAUGCUACAUGAGUUUUGCAUUAGGAGAGUGUGGACAGUAGAAACAGACCACUCUGCCUGUUCUCGACCACCAUCCCUUUUCCUCCUUCGUGAUUCUAUGUUGGCGUAUUCUAGGAGACGAUGCCUGUAGCGGAGAAGUGGACUGAACUAUUCAUGUCCGACGACCGUUCAUAAAAAUAGGAUUUUAGCGAUUUCUCUCCCUACGAUGCUGCGCUUAAUGGAACCUCUAACGUGCUUGACACAUCGUAACCCUUCCUCGAGGCCCAUAAACGCUUGACGAAGAGAUUCGCAGUGUUCGGAAGCGCGGUGAAGCGGGAACACCAGAGGAUGCGAGCAGCGGAGGCGCGUGUACUCGCGAAUGCUCGUCCGGCGAUCGUUCCUGACAACGAUCGGCACGGCUCGCGAUGAUGGCGGAGCGCGGUCGCGUAGCAGCGAUAUCGUGGUUCGAGUACGC